UACGAAGGGUGCAAGCGUUACUCGGAAUUAUUUGGGGCGUAAAGCGCGUGUAGGCGGCCAGACAAGUUGGGUGUGAAAGCCCUCGGCUUAACCGAGGAAGUGCGCCCAAAACUGUUUGGCUUGAGACCGGAAGAGGUGGGUGGAAUACCCAGUGUAGAGGUGAAAUUCGUAGAUAUUGGGUGGAACACCGGUGGCGAAGGCGGCUCACGUGGUCCGGUUCUGACGCUGAGGCGCGAAAGCGUGGGGAGCAAACAGG
rnacentral:rRNA from 1 species